rnacentral:lncRNA from 1 species
GCCUCCUAAUUAGAAUGAAACCUCUUCUACACAUCUGUUUUGCAACCCUGAAUAACAUCCUUUGGUCUUCUACAAUAGAGGAGUCAGUGAGCUCUGAGGUAUGUUGUCCUAUGCUUUGGGUAAAAGUAUUGUUAGAAAGAGACUGGGUGGCCCAGCCUCAUUAGUGUGGCUGUCCCAGAAGCUCCAAGUCCAGGCUAAGAAAAGUGGUCCCUUUGCUUGGUUUAGGUAAUUCCCUGGCUAUUACCAGAGGCUAUGUGAUCCUGAGACCCACGGAUGUGCUAAGAGGACUUUUGGAUUCCAGCCCAGUGUUUUUUAAAAAAAUAUAUGUUUUAAUGCUUUAUAUGGCCCCUACUGCCAAGUCCAAACAAAAUAAAAGCAAGCACAGAAAAUAGAGCCAGAGAAAGAAGAAAAGGGGAGUAAACAAGAAGAGGGAGAAAAGAGAUAAGAGAAAGAACUGAGGGAUAGAAAAAAGGAAAAGUGGGAGGAAAGGGGAAGAAGGGGGAGGAAGGAAGAGAUGGAGAGGAAAGGAAGAAGAAAGGGAGGGAGGAGACUAGGGAGGAGGAUGGGAGGUGAAGGAGGGCAGGAUGCGAGGAGUCCAGGAGGGUAAAGGAUUUGAUUCAAGAGAAACAGAUGGCUGAUCUGGAGGGGGAGGGGAGGCUGUCUGCAGGCACUCAUCUGAACAAAAUCCAACUUCCUACAGGCAGCUGCCUGGAGCCCUAUCCAUCAUCCACAUUCAGGUUCCCACGAUCAAUGCCACAGUCAGUCAUUGGCCAUCCUUGAAACACCAGAAUCAUUAUGAACAAACACCAGAGACUCACAGAUUGAAUUCCUCUUACUGCUCCAGAGGCCAGCAAUGCCAAACAUACAGGAUGCACAAAAAUUGCUUUAUGAGAA